GACGAACGCUGGCGGCGUGCCUAAUACAUGCAAGUCGAACGAGAGCGACCGGUGCUUGCACUGGUCAAUCUAGUGGCGAACGGGUGAGUAACACGUGGGUAACCUGCCCAUCAGAGGGGGAUAACAUCCGGAAACGGAUGCUAAAACCGCAUAGGUCUUCGAGCCGCAUGGCUUGAAGAGGAAAAGAGGCGCAAGCUUCUGCUGAUGGAUGGACCCGCGGUGCAUUAGUUAGUUGGUGAGGUAACGGCUCACCAAGGCCGUGAUGCAUAGCCGACCUGAGAGGGUGAUCGGCCACAUUGGGACUGAGACACGGCCCAAACUCCUACGGGAGGCAGCAGUAGGGAAUCUUCCGCAAUGGACGCAAGUCUGACGGAGCAACGCCGCGUGAGUGAAGAAGGUUUUCGGAUCGUAAAACUCUGUUGUUAGAGAAGAACAAGUGCUAGAGUAACUGUUAGCGCCUUGACGGUAUCUAACCAGAAAGCCACGGCUAACUACGUGCCAGCAGCCGCGGUAAUACGUAGGUGGCAAGCGUUGUCCGGAUUUAUUGGGCGUAAAGCGAGCGCAGGCGGUUCCUUAAGUCUGAUGUGAAAGCCCCCGGCUCAACCGGGGAGGGUCAUUGGAAACUGGGGAACUUGAGUGCAGAAGAGGAGAGUGGAAUUCCAUGUGUAGCGGUGAAAUGCGUAGAUAUAUGGAGGAACACCAGUGGCGAAGGCGACUCUCUGGUCUGUAACUGACGCUGAGGCUCGAAAGCGUGGGUAGCAAACAGG
rnacentral:rRNA from 1 species